GUAAUAUAAUAAUUAUAAUACCUGUCCCUCUUCCCCACAGACCUUUUCCUGUUUUGACAUAAGCAUAUAUUCGUAUGUGAUUUAGAAAACCAGAGAUGAAGACUACUAUGCAGAGGGUCCCUUGGAUUGGGUGCAACUAGGAAGAUACUCAUGGUUGGUGUUACAUACGAUGGCAGCAGCGUUUUACCCUGACUGGGCUGGAAAGAAGACAGAAGAGCAAAUGAGGGAGUUCUUAAACUUCUUUGCAAGAUCCUAUCCUUGUAAAGGAUGCUCAAAUGGCACAAAAAAGAAAGAAUAAUGCAGAACUCACCAGCCGUGUUGGCCAGGCGCACGUUAGCUCUCUGGUUGCGUGAAUUUCACAACGCAGUGAAUGAAAAGCUCAAGAAGCCACAAUUUGAUUGCACUCUUCGGGCGCAACACUGGAAGGAUGGUUGGCACGGCUCUUAUCACUAUAUAAUUGGAACAAACUUGAAUUUGUAUUUUAAAAAUACAGAUUUAAUAAAAGGAAGGGUGAUAUAGACCAUCUGCAUUUUAUACUGGGGUGGCAAAUAUGUUGCCUUUUGUUUUAACUGAAUUGCUUGUAAUUGCAUUUGAAGUUGACUUUUAAAAAAUUGUGUCUAACACUA